rnacentral:sRNA from 1 species
CCAUAGCCCCGAUAGCAACGGCAUCCUUUUUUUGGAGCGAGGCGGCGGAGCGCAGCGGAGCCGACCGAGAUCCAAAAAAAGAUAUAGUGGAUAGCGGGAUUAAGC